GGGAGGUAGUGACAAUAAAUAACAAUGCAGGGCCCUUUGGGUCUUGCAAUUGGAAUGAGUACAAUUUAAAUCCCUUAACGAGGAACAAUUGGAGGGCAAGUCUGGUGCCAGCAGCCGCGGUAAUUCCAGCUCCAAUAGCGUAUAUUAAAGUUGUUGCAGUUAAAAAGCUCGUAGUUGGAUUUCUGGUGGGGGCCGCUGGUCCGCCGCGCAAGUGGCGUGACCGAUGCGUGCCUACCGCCAUCCUCGGGGGGGCUUCGCGUGGGAUUAGUUUCUCGUGCGGAUGUUUACCCGUCUUUUACUGUGAAAAAAUUAGAGUGUUCAAAGCAGGCUGAGGCCGUUGAAUACAUUAGCAUGGAAUAAUGAGAUAGGACCUUGGCGGU
rnacentral:rRNA from 1 species